AUUGAACGCUGGCGGCAGGCCUAACACAUGCAAGUCGAACGAGUGGCGGACGGGUGAGUAAUGUCGGGGAAACUGCCUGAUGGAGGGGGAUAACUACUGGAAACGGUAGCUAAUACCGCAUACCAUCGGAUGUGCCCAGGUGGGAUUAGCUAGUCGGUGGGGUAAAGGCUCACCUAGGCGACGAUCCCUAGCUGGUCUGAGAGGAUGACCAGCCACACUGGAACUGAGACACGGUCCAGACUCCUACGGGAGGCAGCAGUGGGGAAUAUUCGACAAUGGGCGCAAGCCUGAUGGAGCCAUGCCGCGUGUAUGAAGAAGGCCUUCGGGUUGUAAAGUACUUUUGGCAGGGAGGCGGUACCCGCACAAGAAGCACCGGCUAACUCCGUGCCAGCAGCCGCGGUAAUUC
rnacentral:rRNA from 1 species